GACCCCGCCCGGCGUUACCGAGGCGGCCGCCGACCUCCGUCCUGGCGAGAGGCGACGCUUGCUCCAGGAGAAGCCCGGCUCCGGCAAGCAUGAUAGCGGGGGACACUGUCAUCGUACCUGGAACGCUGGAAGAACCCACACUGGGGGGAGGAGAAAAAGAAGAGUUUAGACUGAAGUUGCUGUGGAAGUACUACAAUUACAGAGGCAACACAUUCUUCAUAAAGGUAAGAAAACUGAAUACAAAAUACAGACUUAGAACACACCACAUGAGUCUUCCUCUAAAGUUGUUCUGUCAUAUAUAGAGAAAAGUCCAUGCUAAGCAAAGAUGUACAUACAGUUCAGGAACGCUUACUUCUCCUGAAUCAAAGGCAGCUAUGUACUUCAUUACCUUCCUGUAUGUUGAUGUGAUUUACCAUUAAACUUGUAGAAAGAUUCCCAGGGCGUUCAAGGAAAGCUUACACUAGGGGUCGUCUUUUCAAAGCACCAUCACUACUACACUACCUUAACUAACCAUACAUGUACAGUACUAGAGCACAAGUCUUGCUUAAUUUGCCAGAGUGAAAAACAGACGUAAAUUUAAAUUUUGUAAUAUUCUCUGCUGAACACCUCCCUCUAUGAAAUACAGUAAACCUUGUUUGUGCCCCAAAAGUUUUCUUGUUAAUCGAAACUGCUAUAAAACCUAAUAUUUAACAGCUGAAGACUGAAAUGAAUAUUCAAAAUAAAAUAAGCUUUGGCCACAAUGGUACAGUGAUGAUGGUUGGCAAACAUUUGACAUGUUGAUAGGUUUCUGAAGUCAAGACUGAAAGUACGAGACAUUGUGCCAAACUGUGAUUACAUACUACUAGCAAAAUAAUAAGAGGUCGGGUUUCAUUUUUGACUUGUUUAAAAAAAAAAAAGUUUAAAAAUGAAACUUCAAUAAAAAAACUUUUAUGAGGAAAAACAACAACAAAGCAUAGCUGAAAAUUUGGUCCAUCUCGUAAUGAAAAUUUCAUUACAUGCAGUUUUGACAGAUUUUAGAUAAGAAUUCCUUCCCAACCCCUCAUCUCAAAGCACCUCUAAUUAAUAUCCGGUACGUGCAUGUAUUGUCUUGAGUAAAAGUUGAGUAAAGGAACGUAAGUUGUCAUGCAUCCUGGUAGCUUCAGCAGAGAAGUUUCUUCUAGAAAAGUAUUUUCCAAACUGAAGGAAAAUAGGUGUUUCCACAGCAAUUACUUUCUAUUUAAGAAAAUUCCUUUCGUUAUUAGCAACUUUAUUUUUAAGCAUGCAGUAAAAGGUUAAUAAAGCAAGUUUAUUUUCUAGAUAGUCUUAGCUGUAAAUAUUAACUCUGCAUUGUUACCAUCUCUAAAGCUUAAAAAAACCAACUUGUUAAAACAUCAGUUAAAAAUGCUAAAAACCACUGCAACAGAUCCAUAUGUUUUCUAGAGAACUAAAAGCUUCUUAGACCAAGGUCAGGACCUGUGUUUAUGUACACCAAAAGCUGAAAAUCUAUUAACAGAGUAAGCAAGUACUGACAGUCUGAAAUUCAAAAGUUAAUAGAAAAUAUGCAGCAAAAGCUUCAUCGUUAGCCACCACACCCACAGCAUGUGCCACCACAGCUAAAAAUUAAAAAAUAUCAUCAAUUACCAAUUACAGAAGUAGAUCAAUACUACGCAUCAGAAGUAAGCCUCUCUUUAUCAGAUGGCUGAGCAUGGAUCUCAGCCUUGUGAUAUGUGGCAUCGUAAUGAUCUUUCUUACUUCUUUUGAAGAAACCACACUACAAGGAAGCAAGGUAUUUAGUCAAUUUCAGUGGACCAGAAGAAGAGUUAAACCUAUUAGAACCGACUAGAACAACCUUUCCAUAAUCCCUUCACAGGCUGGUUGCCUCAUGUUUUAGAAAGUUUUCACAAGAAGAGUCAGCUAUUGUUACUAGAUUUGAGAACUUCUGGGACUAACUUGCUCUGUACAAGAGCAAAAUAACCUGGGGUGUAAGGAAUGUCAUUUUAGAGGCUUAAUUUUAAAAUUUUAAUACAUUGUUUUUUGAAGAAAAACUACUUACACAGCAUGUCUGUAGCAGCUAAAGCUGUCUGUAAAGAGCAGAAAAGUUCUCUAUACAAAAACCAAUUUAUGCACAGGGUAAAUGUUUUGACUUGUUCAACAGGAGCAUGUGUCUCAUCCCCAGCCUAUAAUUGCCUAUGACGUACAGUGUUUGUCCUUCAUAAGAUGCUUUUUUGUCAUCAAAAGAAGUUCAGUGUUUAUGAGAGCAUUUUCAUGUGCAGUAGAAGACUAGUAGUUGUAACCUAACAGCCCAUCCAAAACGUUAAUGAUUAUUCAUUAGAUUUGCAACAGACUGUCCAUUUCUUUAAGAAGGAGGAAACCAAAAGUACCCUACGAGAAGUCAUCUAUAGCAAACAGUAAGUACAACCACACCACCUGCCCCAAAGGAAAGUGACAAGAUAUUCCUCUUCACCCACUCUUUCUAAAUGAGUGUCUUUCUCAUCAACUUAUAGUAACUGCUGAAGCCAGUAAGUAAUAAGAAUAAAAUAACUACCCUAUUCUACUUGGAGACACAGUUAGUUGUAAAAAUGCCAAAGGUGUUUUAAAAAAUACUUGCAUUUUUUCUUUUCAAAUUCUUAAGUUUUCCUUUUAAAUACGAAUUUACUCCUUCAGGGUUUCUAAGAUAAGGAGCCCAUCCAAAAGAAACUGAACACACAGAUUCAGAGGGAGGGAAGGCAAGACGAGCACAAGCAAGACAAGUUUCUCAUCCGACAGAAAAAUUCUCUCCCUUGGCUCCUACUAAGGCUGGAACAUUAAGCAGAUACGUAGCCGAUACUCAUUUAGGGCACUGCCCUACUCCGAGCCGUGCUAAGAAGUACUGUGUGCUGCUCAACUGCACUGUGAUCUUCAGGCUGCCUUCGGCCCACCUAGGAAGCACAUGAACUGCGUCACAGGGAGAUGGCACUGGCUGGUGAGGAAUUAACUCUACAGGACCAGUUCCAUCUACUUUUCCUCCCUUGGGUUCCGACUCAGACUGGAGCAGCUAAGUACUGUCCCUAUAGCAUCAAUAACCCAGAAUUGUGCCCUGAAGUUGCUUUAGUCUUGUCUUUGAAGAAGUGAGGUUAAGCUGCAAGAAUAUAAUUAGAUGGAGGAGCCUCCCUGCACCCCCAUUUUAUGAUAUAGCUGGUGUUCUGCAGCACCAUGAGAGGUGAAUUUGAGAAAGAGCUAUGAAGCUACAAAAAUAACAUUAUCUGCUAAAUCUCAAAAGCUUUUUUCUCUCAGUAGCGUAUGAAAGAAUAGCCUGCAUCAUCAUUAUUAGUACAAGCUCUCACUGCAGCACGCUCUCACUUCCUAAGUCACAGUUGCAACAUCCAGAGCUACAUGAACACAGAGGAGCAAUUCAGCUGACGGCCCUCAGUAAAGUUAAGGUAAGGCUGAUCAUCCUAGGCAACAAGCUGAAGAAAGAGGGCUCCUUUUUUAAACUUUACCAAACUACUUUUCCUUGUUUCUGUAGUAAGUUUUUUUAAAGAAACAAUGUAUCAUGAAAGGAGGAACAAACAACCUGAAAAUAAAUUGUCUGUUCCAUAUCCAAGAUCCAUCCUGUUGCCAAGAUUACAAAUAAGGGCUAACUCAGAGUUAGAAAAAUAAUUUAAAAUGUCUACAAUCUCAAGAAUUUUGUUUUGCUAAGCAGACAUUUAAGUCCUUAAUUCUAAGAAAUUACAAUUAUACAGCAAUGGAAAUUACUUUCAGGAAGCUGCACAGAAAUACAGAUCAUUCAGAACAUUUACAAAGAUGUUUUGGGUCUACAGCACGCUAGACCUGUAGACUUACCACCACAUUUCCUCCUGGCCCCUGACUUUGGACGGUUACACCCAUCCAUUGGUCUUCUUUGCUCUCCAUCUUUGGGUCAGCUGGAGAUUCAAAUAAAGCAGUUAAUUUUUUUUGUCUCUGUAAGAACUUUACAGUACAUAAGAUAGUCUACAGAUGGCAGUGUCUGCACAUCCUAUCACAUUCCAAUGCAAGUAAGUUAUGUACAAACCUAGAAAAGCAACUGUGUGAUAUAGUCAAUGGAAAGGACUGCAUCAGAUCAGAAAAAUCAGACAACUGCAGAAUAAAAGCACUGAGGAACUUACUGUCUUCAUCAAACACAACACGUGUGCAGCGUGUGUCUGAAGAUGUGAUGUCACAGCUGUACAGCCCUCCUGUUCUGUUGGCUUGUUGGGAUGGAAAGGCCUUUUCCCGAGGAGCUCCAACCAGCAAUCUACAGGGAAACAGAAAUAACUUCAAGGGAUCUGCAGAGGCAGUAUUAGAAAAGAGGAAGGCAGCAGAGUCAGGAAAUGCUUUCACCGUGUUGUUAGAGGUGUGAUGUGCAAACAUUUAAGGGGGAUUUUCAUCAGUCAAUACAACUGCUUUCAGACUCUGCAUUUGCACCACUCCCGUGCCACCACCCCCCAUGAGUAUUAUCACAAAAUAACCACAGACAUGUUUAUUUGCUAAAUGAGAGUUCUCAGUCAAAACACUUUUUUUCUUCGGAUAUUUUUGAGUCGCAUAUAUGUAAACCACAGCCACCUCAACUUCCUAACUGAAACCAGCAUACAGUAACAGCACCACGGUCUGCAGAAGAAAUAAGAAACAAUGAAUUCUGCUGAAGAAAACCAAGAUUGAGAAAACUGUGUGUAGAUGGGUACAAUACAGCGGGUGCAACCUUCCUGUGCUUCCAGACACCAGUCAGUAUAAAUAAGUAAAUAAAUCUGAAAGAGAUCUGAUAUUACAUUACCAAGAGAGGAGAGUUUAAGGCUUCAGUUAUAGUUUUUCUGUUGAGACACAUUUUUCAACAUGCUUUAUAACGGCUGUGGAGCAAAGCAAACCACUGUAUCUCAGAAAUUGUUUUUUUUUGGUGUUUUUUGUUUGUUCAUUUUCUCAUUAAAAACAUGACUUUUAUUUCUAUCUAA